rnacentral:tRNA from 1 species
UGGCACGUAGCUCAGUUGGUAAGAGCAUCCGUUUGAAAAGCGGAAGGUCCCUGGUUCGACCCCAGGCGUGCCAGCCA